UACGGAGGAUGCAAGCGUUAUCCGGAAUGAUUGGGCGUAAAGCGUCCGCAGGUGGCUGUGUAAGUCUGCUGUCAAAGAGCAAAGCUCAACUUUGUAAAGGCAGUGGAAACUACACGGCUAGAGUGCGUUCGGGGCAGAGGGAAUUCCUGGUGUAGCGGUGAAAUGCGUAGAGAUCAGGAAGAACACCGGUAGCGAAGGCGCUCUGCUAGGCCGCAACUGACACUGAGGGACGAAAGCUAGGGGAGCGAAUGGG
rnacentral:rRNA from 1 species